GUGCACGCUGGCGGCGUGCCUCAUCCAUGCCAGUCGCGCGAACAGACGAGGAGCUUGCUCCUCUGACGUUAGCGGCGGACGGGUGAGUAACACGUGGAUAACCUACCUAUAAGACUGGGAUAACUUCGGGAAACCGGAGCUAAUACCGGAUAAUAUAUUGAACCGCAUGGUUCAAUAGUGAAAGACGGUUUUGCUGUCACUUAUAGAUGGAUCCGCGCCGCAUUAGCUAGUUGGUAAGGUAACGGCUUACCAAGGCAACGAUGCGUAGCCGACCUGAGAGGGUGAUCGGCCACACUGGAACUGAGACACGGUCCAGACUCCUACGGGAGGCAGCAGUAGGGAAUCUUCCGCAAUGGGCGAAAGCCUGACGGAGCAACGCCGCGUGAGUGAUGAAGGUCUUCGGAUCGUAAAACUCUGUUAUUAGGGAAGAACAAAUGUGUAAGUAACUAUGCACGUCUUGACGGUACCUAAUCAGAAAGCCACGGCUAACUACGUG
rnacentral:rRNA from 1 species